GCCAGGUACGGUGGUGUGUGCUCGUAGUUCCAGCUACUUGGGAGGCUAAGACUGGAGAAUUGGUUCAGUUCAGGAGUUCUGGGCUAUAGUGUGCUAAGUCUAUCAGUUGUCUGCACUAAGCUUGACAUCAGUAUGGUGACUUCCUGGGAGCGAGGACCAGAUUGCCUAAGGAGGGGUAAACCAGCCCAGGUCAGAGAUGGAGCAGUUCAAAACUCCCAUGCUGAUCAGUAGCGUGAUCGUGCUGUGAAUGACCAUUGCACUCCAGUCUGGCAACAUAGCAAGACCCCAUCUCU
rnacentral:SRP_RNA from 1 species